GACGAACGCUGGCGGCGUGCUUAACACAUGCAAGUCGAACGGUGAAGCGCCUUCCUUUUUGGUGGGUGUGGAUGAGUGGCGAACGGGUGAGUAUCACGUGAGUAACCUGCCCCCUUCUUCUGGAUAACCGCAUGAAAGUGUGGCUAAUACGGGAUAUUCUGGGUCUGUCGCAUGAUGGGUCUGGGAAAGAUAUUGUUUCGGUGGGGGAUGGGCUCGCGGCCUAUCAGCUUGUUGGUGGGGUGAUGGCCUACCAAGGCGGUGACGGGUAGCCGGCCUGAGAGGGUGGACGGUCACACUGGGACUGAGACACGGCCCAGACUCCUACGGGAGGCAGCAGUGGGGAAUAUUGCACAAUGGGCGCAAGCCUGAUGCAGCGACGCCGCGUGAGGGAUGGAGGCCUUCGGGUUGUGAACCUCUUUCGCCAGUGAAGCAGGCCUGCCUCGUUUGUGGGUGGGUUGACGGUAGCUGGAUAAGAAGCGCCGGCUAACUACGUG
rnacentral:rRNA from 1 species